rnacentral:rRNA from 1 species
UAGAAACACUAACGAAUAAGGGGUGGGCAAGUACGGUGUCAGCCGCCGCGGUAAAACCAGCACCUCAAGUGGUCAGGAUGAUUAUUGGGCCUAAAGCAUCCGUAGCCGGCUCUGUAAGUUUUCGGUUAAAUCUGUACGCUCAACGUACAGGCUGCCGGGAAUACUGCAAAACUAGGGAGUGGGAGAGGUAGACGGUACUCGGUAGGAAGGGGUAAAAUGCUUUGAUCUAUCGAUGACCACCUGUGGCGAAGGCGGUCUACCAGAACACGUCCGACGGUGAGGGAUGAAAGCUGGGGGAGCAAACCGGAUUAGAUACCCGGGUAGUCCCAGCUGUAAACUAUGCAAACUCAGUGAUGCAUUGGCUUGUGGCCAAUGCAGUGCUGCAGGGAAGCCGUUAAGUUUGCCGCCUGGGAAGUACGUACGCAAGUAUGAAACUUAAAGGGAU